rnacentral:misc_RNA from 1 species
GAGUUCCCCCGACCGAGACUUUCACCUGAGAGCGUGACGGAUCAGCCCAACUUACUACCUACGAAAAAAUGUGUGUGCGGCGCGCCAAAAGAAGUUUUCAAAUGAAGAAAACCGAACAUGAAAUAGAUUAAUUCGUUUCGAAGUGUCAGUGUGAUGGGGCAGUGACGUGUUCGAAAAAUAAAUAUGUGGUCAAGAUGAAGCUGUGGAAGAGCCUUAAGAUAUCCAUAGGCAAAACUGACCCUAAGGGUUAUCAGCAGGGCCUCCCACAGUGGGGACAGGGAUAUGAACUAGAUGUUUUCAAAUCGCAGACAUCACUCUCAACGGACUCCGGUCUGUGUACGGAGCGCGGUUUGAGAAGAACACAUAUUGAGCUGAUAAAACCUCCGGGGAAACGGAUAGGACUUAAACUGGCAGGUCAGUUUUAUACAUAAGUUUUAUAUACUGACAACUUCCUACUACAAUAUUAUUAUAUCUUUAAGUAGUGCAGUAGUUAGGGGUCUAUGAGAUAAAAA